rnacentral:lncRNA from 1 species
CGUUUAUGCUACUGCACCUCCCAGCCCCACCGCUGUCGCUGCCGCUGCUGCGGUGUUGCUAGGCCCUGCCGCCGCCGCGCCUGGCGUUUAGGCUACUGCACCUCCCAGCCCCACCGCUGUCGCUGCCGCUGCUGCCGUGUUGCUAAUUCCCGCCGCCGCCGCGCCUGCCGCUUAGGCUACUGCACCUCCCAGCCCCACCGCCGUCGCUGCCGCUGCUGCUGCGUUGCUAUUUACCGCCGCCGCCGCGCCUGCCGUUUAGGCUACUGCACCUCCCAGCCCCACCGCCGUCGCUGCCGCUGCUGCUGUGUUGCUAGGCCCUGCCGCCACCGCGCCUGCCGCUUAGGCUACUGCACCUCCCAGCCCCACCGCUGUCGCUGCCGCUGCUGCCGUGUUGCUAAUUCCCGCCGCCGCCGCGCCUGCCGCUUAGGCUACUGCACCUCCCAGCCCCACCGCCGUCGCUGCUGCUGCUGUUGCGUUGCUAUUUACCGCCGCCGCCGCGCCUGGCGUUUAGGCUACUGCAC